rnacentral:rRNA from 1 species
GACGAACGCUGGCGGCGUGCUUAACACAUGCAAGUCGAACGGAAAGGCCCUGCUUUUGUGGGGUGCUCGAGUGGCGAACGGGUGAGUAACACGUGAGUAACCUGCCCUUGACUUUGGGAUAACUUCAGGAAACUGGGGCUAAUACCGGAUAGGAGCUCCUGCUGCAUGGAGGGGGUUGGAAAGUUUCGGCGGUUGGGGAUGGACUCGCGGCUUAUCAGCUUGUUGGUGGGGUAGUGGCUUACCAAGGCGUUGACGGGUAGCCGGCCUGAGAGGGUGACCGGCCACAUUGGGACUGAGAUACGGCCCAGACUCCUACGGGAGGCAGCAGUGGGGAAUAUUGCACAAUAGGCGGAAGCCUGAUGCAGCAACGCCGCGUGCGGGAUGACGGCCUUCGGGUUGUAAACCGCUUUCGCCUGUGACGAAGCGUGAGUGACGGUAAUGGGUAAAGAAGCACCGGCUAACUACGUG